rnacentral:rRNA from 1 species
UACGAAGGGGGCUAGCGUUGCUCGGAAUCACUGGGCGUAAAGGGUGCGUAGGCGGGUCUUUAAGUCAGGGGUGAAAUCCUGGAGCUCAACUCCAGAACUGCCUUUGAUACUGAGGAUCUUGAGUUCGGGAGAGGUGAGUGGAACUGCGAGUGUAGAGGUGAAAUUCGUAGAUAUUCGCAAGAACACCAGCGGCGAAGGCGGCUCACUGGCCCGAUACUGACGCUGAGGCACGAAAGCGUGGGGAGCAAACAGG